rnacentral:rRNA from 1 species
CAGUCGCCGCGGGAAUACGAAGGGUGCAAGCGUUAAUCGGAAUUACUGGGCGUAAAGCGUGCGUAGGCGGUGAGUUAAGUCUGCUGUGAAAUCCCCGGGCUUAACCUGGGAACUGCGCUUGUGACUGCACAGCUAGAGUAUGGCAGAGGGGGGUGGAAUUCCACGUGUAGCAGUGAAAUGCGUAGAGAUGUGGAGGAACACCGAUGGCGAAGGCAGCCCCCUGGGCCAAUACUGACGCUCAUGCACGAAAGCGUGGGGAGCAAACAGGAUUAGAUACCCCAGUAGUCCCUGUCUCUUAUAC